UGGGGGAAUAUUGGACAAUGGGGGGCAACCCUGAUCCAGCAAUGCCGCGUGUGUGAAGAAGGCCUUCGGAUUGUAAAGCACUUUCGACGGGGACGAUGAUGACGGUACCCGUAGAAGAAGCCCCGGCUAACUUCGCGCCAGCAGCCGCGGUAAUACGAAGGGGGCUAGCGUUGCUCGGAAUGACUGGGCGUAAAGGGCGUGUAGGCGGUUUACACAGUCAGAUGUGAAAUCCCCGGGCUUAACCUGGGAGCUGCAUUUGAUACGUGUAGACUAGAGUGUGAGAGAGGGUUGUGGAAUUCCCAGUGUAGAGGUGAAAUUCGUAGAUAUUGGGAAGAACACCGGUGGCGAAGGCGGCAACCUGGCUCAUGACUGACGCUGAGGCGCGAAAGCGUG
rnacentral:rRNA from 1 species